rnacentral:rRNA from 1 species
GACGAACCGUGCGAACGUUAUUCGGAAUCACUGGGCUUAAAGCGCGUGUAGGCGGGAGGGCACGUCCGUUGCUGAAAUCCCCCGGCUCAACCGGGGAACGGGCGCGGAUACGACCUUCCUGGAGGGGCGUAGGGGGACCUGGAACUUCCGGUGGAGCGGUGAAAUGCGUUGAGAUCGGAAGGAACGCCCGUGGCGAAAGCGAGGUCCUGGACGCCUACUGACGCUGAGGCACGAAAGCCAGGGGAGCAAACGGG